CAGCCAUCAGAAGCUGUAAUUCUACCAGCCAUCAUCAGCUAGCAAUGCGCGUGGCUGGAGCGAGAUCCUGUGUCUCAGUAUCAUUCACCUGCAGUGUCUCUAGAAGUGCUGAACACACCAGUGAGCUUUGUUCACUUAAAUCAGGGCACAGUAGUGUGAGAAUUCAGCCUGUGGAUGGCAUACCUUGCCUUUGGCCUUUCGUGGUCUCCAUGUAAGUGUUUUACGAAUGCUUCCUAUAGUGGGAGUGAGAACUUUUCCAAGUGGAUGCCAUUGUGUGAAAAAGAAAGAAUUCUCUUGCUGGAUUGUACUGUGGUAGCUGCCACCCUGUCUUAUCCCUGUUCUCUUAGGCUAAUGCUCCAAAAUAACAAACCACCUCCUCACCUCCCUCCUUUCUCCCAUUUACAUUCAGGUAGGCUGUACUUUUAGAGAAGGCAUCAUAUUGAUGCCUCUGCAGAUUGUAUUGUGUGAAGUCCUAUCUUUGGCCGGUGAGUGCUGUCCAAGGAAUUAGGGCUGUAGUAAGCAUCACUGCACUGCACCUUUUUUUCUCUUGCUGAAUUGGUACAGUGCUUUUGGAGUAGAAUAAGAUUGUAUUCCUCUGAACAAGGAGUAGUACUGUAUGUUUUAGUAGGCUGUAGUAGUGCAUGUAGAGUACUGUAGCUGAUGGGGCCCGGGAAGCUUUUUAAUAGCACUACAGCAAUGAAUGUUUACUUCCUGGAACAAGCCAGAAAUGUGAUUCAGCAAAAUCUGUAAGAGCUGUAGUUUUUAUAUUCUGUAUGCUGGUGUGGACUGAAAGCACAACUUAGGAGUUAGUGACAAAACUUGAUGUGUAAAGUCUGUAACAUGAUAUGAAUGUAAAAUGUCAGGGAAAAGUAGAAAUUAACCUUUUCUUCCCUGUAGUUAGAUAUAAAGGAAGAUGUGUUGCAGUGCAUUCAGGGACCAGCUGCCUCCGACGCAGUCGAUAAGCCAGCAGCACAGAUUUGCUGUUUGCAUAGCUGGCUCAUUCAUGAGUGUUGAAUUAGCAGGCUAAGGAGGUACUGUUGAUCUUGUUUAUUAAGCCAGAAUUAAUUAACUCAGAGUCACAUUUUCAUUUCCAUGACUCUUUUGGUACAAAGUUUCGAAAUUGAUCCAUGCUACUUGAAAAUAGCUUGAUUUUAUUGAUAUUUUUCCAAUUCUGUCAGCUUCUGUUUUGUUAUAGAGCAGUUGUUCUGAAGCCAUCAAUUAAAGCAUCUCCAUGGUAGAGUGGCUUUUUUCAUUAAAAUAAAGGCCUGUCAAACAGUUGGGCUGUGAUGAGCGUGUCCAGGCUGUGGCAGUAUGAUGUACCCUUCCUGCUUAAUGCUUAUUUCCUUUUCUGGUAAUUAACACUGAGAUCGUGCCUGCCCUUAGUUUUGUUCUUGCUCUGCUUUUUCUCUUUUCCCUUUUGCUCUUCCUCCUGAAUAUGUAGUUGAAAUAUCUCAGCUUUCAGCUGUUCGUGUGGUUUUGUUUGGAUGCUAACAAGGGGAGAGGGUGUCACUUUAAACAGCUGGGCCAUGUAUUUUAUUUGUAAUAAUCUUCAUGUUUGUCAGGGACCGGUUUGUGUUUCCUUUUGUUCCCAGAGCAGUGGGAUCCAACUUUCUGCAUUGCUUUUCUGUUCCCUAAAAAAUCUUUGUUUUCUCACUUCAGUUUGAAUUGUAAACCUUGUGAAGUAAAAUGUAAGUUUGCUUUUCAAAUAUGAGCACAUAAGCUGGUUACGCCUUCAUGCUGCUUGAAAUAUGUAUUUUUUCUGCAUAAGGUUUUAAGAUUUACAGCAGUAUUUGCUAAAGCUUUAGUGAAUAACAAGCACUGUUUUAUUAAAAAAAAAAAAAAGUAGGUUUCUGUUAAGAAAAAAAAAGGAUAAAGGGAUCAUCCUUGGUUCUUAUUUCAACUGUGCUUAAAAAAAGGCACAAUUGGUUGCAUCAAAUACUAGGAUCAAACAGCUGAUGUAACUCAGAGGUUUUAUACCUGAUGGCACUUCUGUAAUCUCAGGACUUAGUAGGCUUAAACUACUCCUGUAUUAUGGGGCUACGGGAAGCCCAGGGAGGAAAAAAUGUCUUUGUCCUCUCUGUCUCCUUUCUGAACUGGAGUUGUGUGCUGCACCUCCUCAGAUCACCACUCUCCUCUCCAAGAGAAAGGAGAUUCCAUGGAUUCUUGAAAAUGUUGGCCUGUUUUCUUUUCCCUGCCUGUUCCUGGAGGACCCAGGAUGUGUACGAGCAUCACAUUCUCGUAUCAGCAUCUGGCAUCCUGCUGAUGUAAUGAAGCUCCUGGGUCGGUGCAGACGUGGCCUCCAGUGAGGAGCAGAGGAGGUAUUUCCGACGCAGAGAUGAUGUGAAGAGCGCUGUUUGGAGCAGCCAGGCCUCUCAGCGGGAUGCUCACCUUCAGCCAUUUGACAAGAAGUAAGAGGCACCUGCUUGUGAUGGGCUUGUGAGGGCACAGUAUAAUCCUGCAUUUCCUAGAACAUGGAUGUUUGUGACAGGAGUAACAGACUGUAUUGUUUUGAUCUAUUCGUUUUUCAAAGUUAUAUUAAAAUGAGAUGCUAGCU
ensembl:lncRNA